CUUGCCUCCAGAGGCACUGCAGAUGUGGCUGCUGUGUCACGUUUGUGUCAUUAGGUGGCGGAAAGAAGAAAGGCUAUGUUUACUCUUGCUCAGUAUUCUGACCCGUGAAUGCUUGAAUGAUUAAUAGCCUGACAUU
rnacentral:snoRNA from 1 species